rnacentral:rRNA from 1 species
GAUGAACGCUGGCGGCGUGCUUAACACAUGCAAGUCGAACGAUUAAAGCCCCUUCGGGGGUGUAUAGAGUGGCGAACGGGUGAGUAACACGUGGGCAACCUGCCCCAUGCUUCGGGAUAACCCAGGGAAACCUGGGCUAAUACCGGAUACUCCUUGGAGACCGCAUGGUCUUCUCGGAAAGUUCCGGCGGCAUGGGAUGGGCCCGCGGCCCAUUAGCUUGUUGGUAGGGUAAUGGCCUACCAAGGCGACGAUGGGUAGCCGAGCUGAGAGGCUGAUCGGCCACACUGGGACUGAGACACGGCCCAGACUCCUACGGGAGGCAGCAGUGGGGAAUUUUGGACAAUGGGGGCAACCCUGAUCCAGCAAUGCCGCGUGAGUGAAGAAGGCCUUCGGGUUGUAAAAUUCUUUUACCAGGGACGAUAAUGACGGUACCUGGAGAAAAAGCCCCGGCUAACUUCGUGCCAGCCGCCGCCGUAACAC